GUAAUCCGAAAAAACGCAACCUGAAGCAGCUGUAACCUGAGGACUGGACAGGCUUGCCUAAAAUAAUGUUUGGAGGAGGCACCGAAAUGUGUACAGUGAAAGAAGCUGUCUGAUGUCUACAGGCAGGGAGUUCCCAAGGAUAUGCGACCGUGGCCAGUUCGUAGAUGAUGGACUGAGCGCCCAAUUCGACCACGCUGAUCAUGCCUUGGGGAGGACAGAGGAAGAAAAGGAAUUAUGGAGGAGAACUGAAAGCAGGCACAGCGGAUAGGAACUUAACAGGUUCAUUGGUUGCAUCGGAAGCUCACAGGUCUAGGAGAAUCCAAAGCAGGGAUUUAACUCUGCAGAUAGUUAUCCAGAGGUAGACUGCUCUCAGAUCUGGAGGCUCCAGUUCAUGCCAUUAUUCAUCCGUCUAUCAUUCCGUUUAUAGUUCACCUUGUCCUCCGAGGAGCUUGAAGUGGUGUGCAUAG